GGUGCGAUUGGGAAUUUUGGCAAAGGUGGUUCGUGCUGGUGCGAGCGGAAGGGCCAGCUGAUGCGAGCGGGAAUGGCAGAUUUGGGUAAAAUUUCACACGUGAGUUGCUCUUCAAUCUGGGUCGUUCAUGCCAGGAAGAGUGGGAGUUGAAGGGGAUCGUGCAUAAGUAUCAAUUUGCUGCUGUUGGGCUCCUCUACAAGAAUCUCUCUAAUUUUCCGUAGAAUUGAAUUUGUAAUUUUCCAUAGAAUUGAAUUUGUUUGAAGGUUGAGAUUGAAUUUGUUUAAAAGUUGAGAGACCUUUGACUGGAGAAUGGUGCAUUGCAAUAAAUAUCAUUCAUUUUUCUCACUUAAAAUAAGGAGCAUCGAGUGUGCCUGGAUAUGAAGAUAAAAAUUUGAUUGGCCUUGACGAUAACAAAUUUAUGCAGUUAGAUUUGAUGAAUUCAAAAGUUAAAAAAGUAUACUUGUCAAACACAUUAGCAUGGGAAAAACCCUCCUAUAUAAAUAUUACAUGCAGUCAUGUACUUUUAAGAUACACGUAGCCGGGGCAAACAUAAUCCAAGAUUUCCCAUGAUAGAAGAAUCAUAUUAUAUAUGGAUAGGUCCUAACAGAACUAAAUGAAACACACUAAACCAACAAAAGCUAUAAGCUUUAAAACAUAACUAUAAAGCCCAAAAUAUAAGAUCAAGUAAUAUUUAACUGAGCCAUGAUGAAAUAGUAUAAGUUUAUUUCAUUAAUGCAGGGGCCAAUUUAGAUUAUUGUCCCCAACUAGUUUUUACUCUUACAACCCACUUGGAACACUCCCAGCUCGCUACAAAUAUGUAAGUAGCUAAUAAAUGACAAUAGAGAUUGAAUGCAUUUGCAUGGAAUAGGACAGCCAAGAGUUAAAAAACAGAAACAGCAGCAGCAGCAACUAUAUACAGCACCACACAUUC